rnacentral:rRNA from 1 species
GACGAACGCUGGCGGCGCGCCUAACACAUGCAAGUCGAACGGAGCGCACAGGUUGAAGCCUUCGGGUGGAAAUUUGUGUUGCUUAGUGGCGAACGGGUGAGUAACACGUGAGCAACCUACCCUAAAGUGGGGGACAACAUUUGGAAACAGAUGCUAAUACCGCAUAAGACCCCGGCCGGACAUCCGGCAGAGGCCAAAGGAUUUAUUCGCUUUAGGAUGGGCUCGCGCCUGAUUAGAUAGUUGGUGGGGUAAUGGCUCACCAAGUCUGCGAUCAGUAGCCGGACUGAGAGGUCGAUCGGCCACAUUGGGACUGAGACACGGCCCAGACUCCUACGGGAGGCAGCAGUGGGGAAUAUUGCACAAUGGGCGAAAGCCUGAUGCAGCGACGCCGCGUGAGGGAAGAAGGUUUUCGGAUUGUAAACCUCUGUCUUAGGGGACGAAGAAGUGACGGUACCCUAGGAGGAAGCCACGGCUAACUACGUGCCAGCCGCCGCCGUAAAAC